rnacentral:rRNA from 1 species
CAGAGGUGCAAGCGUUGUUCGGAAUUACUGGGCGUAAAGCGCGUGUAGGCGGUUUCAAGUCCUGUGUGAAAGCCCUGGGCUCAACCCAGGAAGUGCGCAGGAUACUGGAUGACUGGAGUGGCGGAGAGGAUGGCGGAAUUCCCGGUGUAGAGGUGAAAUUCGUAGAUAUCGGGAGGAACACCUGUGGCGAAGGCGGCCAUCUGGACGUUCACUGACGCUGAGACGCGAAAGCGUGGGUAGCAAACAGGAUU